UUUGUGGGGUGCUCGAGUGGCGAACGGGUGAGUAACACGUGAGUAACCUGCCCUUGACUUUGGGAUAACUUCAGGAAACUGGGGCUAAUACCGGAUAGGAGCUCCCGCUGCAUGGUGGGGGUUGGAAAGUUUCGGCGGUUGGGGAUGGACUCGCGGCUUAUCAGCUUGUUGGUGGGGUAGUGGCUUACCAAGGCUUUGACGGGUAGCCGGCCUGAGAGGGUGACCGGCCACGUUGGGACUGAGAUACGGCCCAG
rnacentral:rRNA from 1 species